rnacentral:lncRNA from 1 species
CUGGUUAGAAUAGAGUCUAGAGAGAGAAAUUUAGGGCAUUAGAAAGAUGAAAUUGAAUGCGAGAUUUCAACAUGGGACAGUGGAUUGAGAUUAAUUAUGAGUAUAUUUUUGAUUCCAAAAUACUCAUAUUGAUGAUCAUUAUGUAGUAAACUUUUGUUUGUGAGUCGAAUUAUAUUUCAUGCAUGGACAAAUGACAAGCAAG